rnacentral:rRNA from 1 species
CAAUAGCGUAUAUUAAAGUUGUUGCGGUUAAAAAGCUCGUAGUUGGAUUUCUGCUGAGGAUGACCGGUCCGCCCUGUGGGUGUGCAUCUGGCUCAGCCUUGGCAUCUUCCUGAAGAACGUAGCUGCACUUGACUGUGUGGUGCGGUAUUUAGGACAUUUACUUUGAGGAAAUUAGAGUGUUUCAAGCAAGCGCACGCUUUGAAUACAUUAGCAUGGAAUAAUAAGAUAGGACCUUGGUUCUAUUUUGUUGGUUUCUAGAGCUGAGGUAAUGAUUGAUAGGGAUAGUUGGGGGCAUUCGUAUUUAACUGUCAGAGGUGAAAUUCUUGGAUUUGUUAAGGACGGACUACUGCGAAAGCAUUUGCCAAGGAUGUUUUCAUUGA